rnacentral:tRNA from 1 species
AGCAGCGUGGCUCAGUGGAAAGAGCCUGGGCUUGGGAGCCAGAGGUCAUGGGUUCAAAUCCUGGCUCUGCCA